rnacentral:miRNA from 1 species
AGGCCGGGCUCCCACUGCCCAGUCCGAGGUCUGCACUCUGUGCCUCACUGGACCCAGCAGAGCCUCCGCUU